rnacentral:misc_RNA from 1 species
CGGGAUAGCAUCAUAUGCCUAGUUGUGGAAUAGGAUACCAUUGAAAUACUAGCUCAUAGAAUAUUACUCAAUCACGUGUUUACCAGAAACUACACAAACCAGCGAUGGAGACAGCUCAUCCCCAAACCCUCGACGCCAAACAGCUGGACGAGAGAGAGAAUCAUCGGCCGGCGACGAGAUGGUUAACGAGCGCCAGCGCAUUGCUGGUGAACUGCUUCACCCUCCCCACCCUGCCACAAACAUCAUCCCUCACCCCUCCGGCCGCCACCUUAUCGAACCCAUCCGUACACGUCUCCUCAUUCGUCAGCGCCGCACUCAUCCACGUCUGCGCAUUCCCAACCCUAAAUGCCACCUCCUCCCCUACCGCCUGCUUCAGUGCCGCUAGCUCCUUCGCCGCCCCACGCGUCCUAUCCAUCGCCUCCCUCAGCACCCCACUACAGUCCCUCACUGCAGCCAUCGUCCGCUGCUCUGCUACUCGUAUUGAAUCCACAUGGUCUAGGACGGCGCGGAUGCGGGAGAGGCUGACGUUGGAGGCGGCGCGGGCGAGUUGGACCGGGUCCUGUUGCACGGCGCUGGCAUAGCGGGCAAGGGAGCUGAAGCAGAGGUCAGGGUAGAGGGUGAAACUGCAGCUGGUGCGGACGAACUCGGUGGAGGCUGCCGAGGCUCCGGCUGAGGAGAUGGCGCCUGUCGCCGCCGUGACGGCGGUGAGGGAGAGGAAGAGGCAGAGCAGUUGCUUUCCAG